rnacentral:rRNA from 1 species
UACAGAGGGGCUAGCGUUGUUCGGAAUCACUGGGCGUAAAGGGCGCGCAGGCGGUCCUUCAAGUCAGAUGUGAAAGCCCCGGGCUCAACCUGGGAACAGCAUUUGAGACUGGAGGACUUGAGGACGGGAGAGGAGAGUGGAAUUCCCAGUGUAGAGGUGAAAUUCGUAGAUAUUGGGAAGAACACCAAUGGCGAAGGCAGCUCUCUGGACCGUUACUGACGCUGAGGCGCG